CUAGGGGGCGCUGAGGUGGAGCUGAUUGUUCAGUAGCAGCAGAUGGUUUUGGAUUUCUGGCGAUUCGUGACAUUGUGUGUGACCUGGGUAUAGAUCAAGAUUCAGGAAGUACAGGCCUUCACAGAUAUCCGUGCAACAGGGGAAAACUUUGUUUACCAGGGGACAACAGGUUGGCUUUCCUGGACUGAAUAAACUUAUUAAAUGCACUCUGCCUUGAAUUGAUUGUUUUGGCAUACUUUCUCAUAGGAACUGAAGAGAAGUUAGAAGUAUACAUGAAAGCCCCACACAUCAAUACCUGCUGUUUGAUUCCCACCACCCAUUGCAGUACCA